rnacentral:rRNA from 1 species
GAUGAACGCUGGCGGCGUGCUUAACACAUGCAAGUCGAACGGUGAAAGCAGAACUUGCUCUGCUGGAUCAGUGGCGAACGGGUGAGUAACACGUGAGCAAUCUGCCCUUGACUCUGGGAUAAGCGCUGGAAACGGCGUCUAAUACCGGAUACAAGCUGCUAAGGCAUCUUCAUCAGCUGGAAAGAACUUCUGUCAAGGAUGAUCUCGCGGCCUAUCAGCUUGUUGGUGAGGUAACGGCUCACCAAGGCGUCCACGGGUAGCCGGCCUGAGAGGGUGACCGGCCACACUGGGACUGAUACACGGCCCACACUCCUACGGGACGCAGCAGUGGGGAAUAUUGCACAAUGGGCGCAAGCCUGAUGCACCAACGCCGACGUGAGGGACGACGGCCUUCAGGGUGUACACCUCUUUUAACACGGAAGAAGCGAAAGUGACGGUACCUGCAUAACAAGCACCGGCUAACUACGUGCCAGCAGCCGCGGUAAUACGUACGGUGCAAGCGUUAUCCGGAAUUAUUGGGCGUAAAGAGCUCGUAGCGGUUUGUCGCGUCUGCUGUGAAAACUGGAGGCUCAACCUCCAGCCUGCAUUGGGUACUGGCAGACUAGAGUGCGGUAGGGGAGAUUGGAAUUCCUGGUGUAGCGGUGGAAUGCGCAGAUAUCAGGAGGAACACCGAUGGCGAAGGCAGAUCUCUGGGCCGUAACUGACGCUGAGGAGCGAAAGGGUGGGGAGCAAACAGGCUUAGAUACCCUGGUAGUCCACCCCGUAAACGUUGGGAACUAGUUGUGGGGUCCAUUCCACGGAUUCCGUGACGCAGCUAACGCAUUAAGUUCCCCGCCUGGGGAGUACGGCCGCAAGGCUAAAACUCAAAGGAAUUGACGGGGACCCGCACAAGCGGCGGAGCAUGCGGAUUAAUUCGAUGCAACGCGAAGAACCUUACCAAGGCUUGACAUAUUCGAGAACGGGCCAGAAAUGGUCAACUCUUUGGACACUCGUAAACAGCUGGUGCAUGGGUGUCGUCAGCUCGUGUCAUGAGAUGUUGGGUUAAGUCCCGCAACGAGCGCAACCCUCGUUCUAUGUUGCCAGCACGUAAUGGUGGGAACUCAUGGGAUACUGCCGGGGUCAACUCGGAGGAAGGUGGGGAUGACGUCAAAUCAUCAUGCCCCUUAUGUCUUGGGCUUCACGCAUGCUACAAUGGCCGGUACAAAGGGCUGCAAUACCGUAAGGUGGAGCGAAUCCCAAAAAGCCGGUCCCAGUUCGGAUUGAGGUCUGCAACUUGACCUCAUGAAGUCGGAGUCGCUAGUAAUUGCAGAUCAGCAACGCUGCGGUGAAUACGUUCCCGGGUCU